rnacentral:rRNA from 1 species
GGGAAUCUUGCGCAAUGGGCGAAAGCCUGACGCAGCGACGCCGCGUGGGGGAAGAAGGCUCUCGGGUUGUAAACCCCUUUCAGGAGAGACGAAGCUACUCGGGUGAAUAGCCCAGAGGGUGACGGUACCUGCAGAAGAAGCACCGGCUAACUACGUGCCAGCAGCCGCGGUAAUACGUAGGGUGCAAGCGUUGUCCGGAAUUAUUGGGCGUAAAGAGCUCGUAGGCGGUUUGUCGCGUCUGCUGUGAAAAUCCAGGGCUUAACCCUGGACCUGCAGUGGGUACGGGCAGACUAGAGUGCGGUAGGGGAGAUCGGAAUUCCUGGUGUAGCGGUGAAAUGCGCAGAUAUCAGGAGGAACACCGGUGGCGAAGGCGGAUCUCUGGGCCGUAACUGACGCUGAGGAGCGAAAGCAUGGGGAGCGAAC